UUGUUAUAACACUUUUCAUAAAUCACUUACACACACUACAAAUCUUUUACACCUUUUCAAACACACACAAAUUCUCUCAAACACCUUCAUAUCUUCAUCAACCUACCAAGAACACCAUAGAAAAACCCUUCCAUCAUAUUCAUCUUUCUUAUAAACCACAUGGAUUUUCAUGGAAAUUAAGAAGAUCUAAAGCAUUUGCAAGUUAAAUCAAGCAUUUUCAUCCAUCAAAGAGUCUUCUAACAACAAGAUCUUCAUCUUCUUUGGAUCAUAAGCUCUUUUAGAUCAUCCCUAGCCUAGAGCUAGAAGUGAGCUUCUAACUUUAUAUUUAUUUUUCUUACUCACUUAUGUUAUGAUUAAAAACAAAAUAAUGAUAAAUAAUAGUAUGAAAAUACAAAGAAGCAAAAAUACAAAUCAUGAUAUCUAUGUUUGUUUAUGUUAUGAUUAAGACAUGUAUAACUUGUUAGAUGAUAUUCUAAAAAUAUGAUCUAACAAGUAUACAUAAACAUGUUAAAGUUUUUUUUUAUAUAUUGGAUGAUCAAAAUCUAUGGUGUAAUUAAAGUAUUUAAUGUUUUUAAAUAAAAACAAGACUUUUUACAAGAGUAUAAAAAGUAACAUACAACAUGAGAUUUUUAUAAAAGUUGUAAAAACUAGAAGUAAACUAGGUUUUUGAACUAGUUAACAUAUGUUGUAAGCAAGUUCAAAACCCUACAUGAUUUUGAGAUCAUCUUGAUAAGAUUAUGUUAUAAAUCUUGUUAUAAAGUUUAUGUAUCUUGUUUAUAAAAGUUAUGAGUAAAUUGUGAUGUUGAUUUGAAAAGAAAAAGAUAUGUUUAUUAAACAUGGCAAAGUGAUUAAAACAAAGGUGAUAUGGCAAAAUUUUCUUAAAAACUAUAUGAUAUAAAAACUAUCAUUUUUAGUUAAAUCUUUCCAAGAUU
rnacentral:lncRNA from 1 species